GGUCAAAGGCCUGUAUUCUCUGAAACCUUGUUUUACACGACUCCUCUGUUCCUGGAAGUACUCACUGAAAUUUGUGGCAACCUUGGGGAUCUUCUCUGGCUUUGAACAGCCAUGCUACUCUGUUGCCAAAAAUCAAGUAAAGCGAAUGUGCAUAUUUAUUCUCCUCUUGAGUUUGAAGAAGGUGGUAGCUUCGUAUAGUGCCUGAAGGCAAAGAGAUAAAUGCAAAUUCAGACUCGUAUUAGAAUAAUACUGUUAGCUGCGUAGACCUUGC